rnacentral:rRNA from 1 species
AUUGAACGCUGGCGGAAUGCCUAACACAUGCAAGUCGAGCGGGGUAGCAAUACCCAGCGGCGGACGGGUGAGGAAUACAUAGGACUUUGCCUUUGGGUGGGGGAUAGCUUGGGGAAACUCAAGGUAAUACCGCAUGAUCUCGCAAGAGCAAAGUGGGGGAUCGCAAGGCCCCACGCCUUUAGAGAAGCCUAUGUCUGAUUAGCUUGUUGGUGAGGUAACGGCUCACCAAGGCGACGAUCAGUAAAUGGUCUGAGAGGACGAUCAGUCACACCGGAACUGAGACGCGGUCCGGACUCCUACGGGAGGCAGCAGUGGGGAAUAUUGGACAAUGGGGGCAAGCCUGAUCCAGCAAUUCCGCGUGUGUGAAGAAGGCCUUCGGGUUGUAAAGCGCUUUAGGUUGGGAAGAAAAAGCUUCGGCGAAUAUCCGGAGUGUUGACGGUACCAACAGAAUAAGCACCGGCUAACUCUGUGCCAGCCGCCGCCGUAA